rnacentral:lncRNA from 1 species
CUGGCAAGCCAGGGCUUGUUUCCAGCUCUUCUUCUCCACUCCCACGGCCAUCAUCUGGAUCACAGCAACAGGUUUCCAUCUACUCUGUUUGCUUUUCCCUUUCAGUCCAUUUCUGCAAAACCUGAAAGCCUUCCACACACCAAGUCCUACCCUGAACCCUAGAGGUAUGAGAACAGAAGAAACAGAGAUCCACCUUCAAAAGCUGCUGGACCUUGGCCUUCAUCCAGCAGCUGGUGGAAGUAGAAGCAGACACCCACAACUAAUCACCGAACUGAACUGGAACUCAGAUGCAGAGAAGGACGAGUGAUGAGCAAAGGGGUCCAGACCAGGCUGGUGAAACCCACAGAAACAGCUGACCUGAACAACGGGGAGCUCUUGGUCCCCAGACUGAUAGCAAGGAAACCAGCAUGGGACUGAUCCAGAUCCCAGGAACGUGGAUUUCAGUGAGGAGACCUCAGAAAUCUACGGGACCUCCUGUAGUAGAUCAGUACUUAUCCCUAGCAUAGGUGUGGACUUUGGGAGCCCAUUCCACAUAGAGGAAUACUCCCUGAGCCAAGACACACGGGGUGGGCCUAGGCC